AUGUCAUGUUGAGGACAGCUUGUGCACAAUCUCUUAAAUCUUUCCCAAUAAUCAUACAAAUCUUCAGUAUCUUUUUGCUUAAUACCACUAAUCUCUCUUCUUAUGCCU